rnacentral:rRNA from 1 species
GACGAACGCUGGCGGCGUGCUUAACACAUGCAAGUCGAACGAUGAAGAAGAGAAACGCGAACUUCGGUUCAAAUUUCACUUCGGAUUAGUGGCAGACGGGUGAGUAACGCGUGAGCAACCUACCUCUUACAAAGGGAUAGCCUCGGGAAACCGUGAUUAAUACCAUAUGACACAUUCAUAAGGCAUCUUAAGAAUGUUAAAGCUACGGCGGUAAGAGAUGGGCUCGCGUCCCAUUAGCUAGUUGGUGAGGUAACGGCCCGCCAAGGCGACGAUGGGUAACCGGCCUGAGAGGGUGAACGGUCACAUUGGAACUGAGACACAGUCCAAACUCCUACGGGAGGCAGCAGUGGGGAAUAUUGCACAAUGGAGGGAACUCUGAUGCAGCGACGCCGCGUGAGCGAUGAAGUAAUUCGUUACGUAAAGCUCUGUUCUAUGGGAAGAAAAGGACUGUACCAUAGGAGAAAGCCCCGGCUAAAUACGUG